GCUCCGUCCCUGCUUCAACUUGCAUCACUCAUCCAUUUCUAUUCCUUAGCUCUCUCUCUCACUCAAUUUCUCUCUUUCUCUCUCUAAGUUAUCGGCACAAAGAAUGGAAGGAGAAGUUGCUGCCGCCGUCCUUCAACCUCUAGUUCAAAACCUCAUCGACCUCUCCAAAAGAGAUCUCUCAGAUCCGAGAUCUCAAAAAAGAUGCCGCAAAGCUAGCCGGGAGUCUCGACAUGAUAAAAAAUUUCUUGAACGAUGCCGAGACGCGUACCAUCACCCAGAAGCUGUCAAGUGCUGGCUGAAGAAGCUUGAAGACGUGGUGUUCGAUGCUGACAAUGUUUUGGAUGAAUUCAACUAUCAUAUUCUCUCCAAACAAAUCAAGGCCGCUGAACCCAAGAAGCUGGCAAAGGUACCAUCAUGCUUCUCAUGCUUCAAGCAUAUUUCACGUUCUCGAAAUAUGGCUCUUAAAAUCAAAGAAAUCAAUGAGAAGUUGGAGUCCAUUAACGAAGAGGUGGUCAAGUUUGGCCUCGUAGAGAAGCUUGCCAAUGAGCCUGCUUUGGUUAUUGCUGCUGUGGAAACUGCUGCAUACACUCUUGAUCCAAUUUUUAUUGGAAGAGAUGAUGCUGCGUCGAAAGUAGUUGAGAUGCUUACCGCAAUAGCAUCACAAUUGGUGAACAACACACAGUGUCCGUCAUUUCCAUUGUAGGGAUGGGGGGAUUGGGGAAGACAACUUUGACUAGGAAAGUCUUGAAUCGUCUGAAGAAUGAUAAUCGGUUUGGGUCAUAUAUUUGGGUGCAUGUUUCUCCAAAUUUUGAUCCAAUAAUUCUUUUCAAGAAAAUUCUCAAAGAGGUUUCCCAAAAUAACAAAGAUAUUCUUUCAAAGUCUGAUGAAGGUGCAGUUGAGAGUAAGCAAGAUAUUCUUUCAAAGCUUAAAAUAGCUUUGGAAGAUAAAACUUAUCUUCUUGUACUCGAUGACGUCUGGAAUGAAGAGCGUUCCAAAUGGGAAGAUUUUAUUAAUUGCUUGUUGGGAGUUAGUGGUGUCGUCAAAGGAAAUGCCAUUGUUGUUACGACCAGAAAUAUGAACGUGGCUUCAAUUGUGAAUCCACUUCAUGUACAUCAGUUGAAAGGCUUAUCGGAUGAGAGUGUUGGUCAAUAAUCGAGUAAAAGUCUUUGGAAAAGAAGAUGUUCCGUCAGAACUUGAGGCCACUGGGAGACAGAUAGCGAAAAGAUGUCAAGGAUUGCCAUUAGCUGCCAACGUAGUUGGGGGAGUGCUGCAUAAUAAACCCAAGGAAAAAUGGUGUUUAAUAGAGGAGAAAUGGCUUUCAGCCAAUGAAGGAGGAGUUGAUAUCACAAACAUAUUAAGAUUGAGCUUUGAUAAUCUGUCUCCGCCAUUACUUAAGAAGUGCUUUGCGUACUGUGCGAUGUUUCCUAAAGGCUCCAAAAUCAUCAAAAGGAAACUGAUUGAGAUGUGGACUGCAGAAGGAUUUCUUCAAGCUGAUGGAAGUGAUGACAUGGGUGAAAAAUUUAUCAAUGUUCUUCUGCACAACUCUUUACUGCAAGUUUCACACAGAGAUCGUUAUGGAAAUGUCUAUGCCUUAGGCAUGCACGAUCUUGUGCACGAUCUCGCUCGUUCUGUUUCAAGUUCCUCUAACAAUUCAGGUGGUAGCAGCCGAGUUCGAUAUAUCAGUCUUGGAGACGACAACUGUGGAGAUAUAUCAAGUCCUAUCGCAAAAGAAAUGGCAAAAUCUUUGCGUUCAUUAUUAAUAUCAUUCAAAGAUGAUAUUUCUGGUAUCAACUUCUCAGACUUGGAAAGUUUGCAUGUUUUAGGUCUUGACUCUGAAGUUAAAGAAUUGUCAAGUUCUAUUCGGAAGUUGAUACACUUGAGAUAUUUUGACAUUUCAAAGACAAGCAUUGUAUAAAUGCCAAGUACGAUUAAGUACUUGAUUAACUUGAGGCAUCUUUAUAUUAACGGGUGGCAAAAGUUGCCUAUGGGAAUUGGGAGAUUAACUUCUCUCCAAACGCUAAACCGCUUUCCAGUGGGCGAUGAGAAUGGCUGCAAAAUUGAAGAGCUCGGAAGUUUGAUUAAUCUUAAAGGAGAGUUACAGAUUCGGAAUCUGGAAAGGGUUCAUGACAAGGAAGAGGCUGGGAAAGCCAAUUUAUUCAAAAAGUCAAAAAUAUUGAAGUUGCGUUUGGAAUGGGGUUGGAAGUUGCGUUUGGAAUUGGGUUGGAACAGAGAAGGUGAAAGAAAUGAUGAGGAUGUAUUGGAAGGCCUCCAGCCUCACUCAGAUCUGAGGGAGUUAGAAAUUGAUAGAUUCAAUGGAAAAAGAUUUCCAUCAUGGACUCAGAAGAUGGCAGUUCGAGAUGUGUCUGGAGGUUCUUGGGUGGUACUUAACAAGCUAAUGUCGUUAUCACUCGUUGACUGCACAGAAUGUGAAGAGAUCCCAAUGUUGGGGCACUUGCCCAAUCUCAAGUCCCUUGUGUUGUUUGGAUUGAGAAAUUUGAAGUGUAUAAAUUCAUCAUUCUACGGAAUGGUGAACAAGGAGUCAGGCAUUGCUUUCCCAGCUCUCGAGAGGUUAUUGUGAAUGCCUAAGCUGCAAGUGGGCAGAAAUAGAAAUUUCGGAUGGAAUGAAGUGAAGCUAUUUCCUCGCCUCCAAUAUUUGAAUUCUGAUUGCCCGCAGUUGAUUAGUGUUCCAAGUCAUGUGUCGUCAUCAUGCCUUGAAUAUUUGUCAAUUAGGAAGACNGGUGUGGAAUGUCUGCCAGCUGAUUGGUUAUUGAGUAACAGCGAGACUCUCUGGUUUGAUAAGGUGCCCGAAUUUAGAGAAAUAUCAGAUAGGGGGGAGAAGAAGAAUCAGAAGGAAGAAGCUCACAAUCACAUCCCUCCCUAUAUUCCCUCGUCUAACAUUGAAUGCGUUCCUAAGUUGAGUUUGGAGACUGUGGAUGAUGCGCCUGAAGUGUGCCCACUACUUAUGUUACUGAGUAUAUGUGAACAGUUGUGCGAUAUUAAAAUUCUUUUAAUUAAGUUAGCCUAGCUAAUUUUGGAAUGGAAGAGUUACCUGAAUGGUUUGCAAACCUCUCUUCUCUAAAGCAGUUGUCUUUAUGUGACUGCAAAAGGCUAAGGCGUCUACCAUCCAUGGAUGCAAUGCGGCGCCUCACAACAUUAAAAGAACUAGAUAUUAGUGGUUCCCCGGAAUUAGUGAUUAAAAGUGAGGCAGCUGAUUCUGAAUGGCCCAAGGUUUCUCAUAUCCCCUACAUCUACAUUGAUGGCUCCAAAAUACGGUGACGGUGAGUAUCAAUAUCUUUUCUUAGAAACAGUUGUAUGUAUAUUUUAUUUGAAUUUUACUUUACCGGUGAUGAAGACAGUUACUCAUCAAAAUUGGUUACUCCAAAUACAUUACCGGUCAAGUACUAGUGAGUAUCAAUAUCUUUUCUAGAAACAGUUGUAUGCAUGUGUAUUUUACUUGAAAAAAAAUUCUAAUUAUUAGAAAUUGAAGUAGCCUAGUAAAAUCUACUCCCUCAGUCAAGCUUCAAAUGUCCCAUUACUUUUAGGCACGAAUAUUAAGAAAUAUGUAUAAAAUAAAUAAAAUGUGUAUAAAGUAAAUAACGUGGAUUGGUGGAAAUUGUUUAAAUAUUUAUUAAGUAUAGAGAGAGUGUGUAUUGCCAAAAAAAGGUAUGAGACAUUUGGAAUGUGACGCCCAUUAUGAAAAGUGAGACAUUUGGAGCAGGACAAAGGGAGUAUUAUCUUAUUUUAUGGAGUUUCUAAUUCAAUUGCUAUUAGUUUGGGGAUUGAGAUUUAUAGCAUACCACACUUGAUGUCUCACUUUCAAUUUUAUUUAUAUUUUUAUAUAUAUUUUCUCUAAUUUUAACUUUGAAUGCUUUAGUUUAAUUUUGUGAUUAUUAAUUAGGGUUCAUUCCAUCUAAUUAGGAUAUAUAAGUAUUUUUUUAUCAUUUAAUUUCACCUUUAUUAGUUAAUAAUAGGUUGAAAAAAUCAAAAUUAUGGUAUAUAAUUUUAUAAAAAAAUAAUUUUUUGAAAUAAAUAUUUAGAAUAAUUCAUAGUAUUAUAAUUUUAUUUUUAUAAAAAAUAUUAUUAAAAUAAUAGAUAUAAGAAUGGAAUAUAGUGACGUACAUAAAAUUGUAGGACAAUGGAUCCCAUCCCUUUUGGUGCUUAAACAAUACGAGAUUAAAUUGUUUUGAGUUUGUUUACUAGUAGUAUUUACAGCAACUCAUCAUCUUAGCUUCUUUUUUUUCCAUUAAUAUAGGUUAACAAAUUUUAAAUUAUGCUAUAUAAUUUUAUAAAAUUUAAUAUUUUGAAAUAUAUAUUAACAGUAAUUCAUAGCUUUUUUUUUAAUUAAUUCUUUUUUGUAUUGAUACAGAAUAAAGUGAGAAGCAAACAGUUGUGUUUGAGGUCCCUCUAAAGAAUUAGGAGGUGAAGAAGCAAGCGAUCUAGUGAAGAAGGAAUAAGUGAGUGUCCAUUUUCUCCAUGAUGACUUGCUCAACCUCUUUUCAUAAUUUUUUUUUGUAAUUCCCUAUAUAUUCUUUGUUUGAACUUUAGUUGAUAGGAUUAUUAUGUCUAGGGUUGAAGAAAAUGCAUGUUUGGAUACCAAUUUGCUUCACAAUUGAUAUGAUUCUCAAAGACUCAAACUUCAUUGAUCAUUCAUCAUUGUAAGAAAAUGGAGUUUUUUUUAUCGCUUUUUCUUUCUCCUCUCCCAUCAAUUUUUAUUAUUAUUAUACAAAUAUUUGCUAAUAAACUGGAAUUUUGUUGGGGAGAUGUCUAAAAUCAUAUACAAAUAGAAACGAUGAAAAUCUAAAGAGACUUUUUUUCUGGGAAAGAAGGUAAUAUGAAGUUUAGUUUAAUCCCAUAUUUCUUGGCUAAUGUGAAUCCUGUAUAGCUGAUUUGUUGUCUACUUUUCAGGUGGAUUUGAAGGGGCAUUUUGAGUAAUUGUCAAGCUCUUAUUGAGCCAUUUUGAGCUCUGUUAUAGAUUUUCUAAUAGAAUCAAAUAAAUUUCAAAAUGACAUGAGGAUAUAUGAGGAUUUGUAGGACUAAAUGUCAAUUUCUGUUUAUGAUUCUGUUUUUAUGAUUUUUUCUUCAAACUUGAACUAUCUGUUAUUUGUUUUAACUCCAAACAUUAAUCCUUGAUUGCAGUGAGUAUGAAUCUAAAGCCAUGGCAGAGAUAGGGGAGCUUUUGAAGUUCAUGGUGGCGAGGCAGCCUCAACUAGAGGCGCCAACCAGCUUGCUCAUGGGGACGAACGACGACAGUGUAGUUAUUGAUUGUGAAGAGAAGGAUGAUGACAAAAAAAUUCAGACAACAAUGUUGAAGAUGAAGAUAAUGAAACAGAGGAUUCAACAGCUGUGGAAGUUGAACCCAAUCCCACCAACAAGGGUAAAGGAAAAAAGGCACACCAAUGAAAGAAUGUUGAGCAUAUCAUAUACUAACAUUAAAACAAAGUUUCAAUUUGCAUCACCAUUAGAAUCUUACAAAUUCUAAUUGGCAGGACAGGAUAUUUGGUUUUACUUUAUCAAUUGCGUGUUUUUCCUUGUUUUUAUAAACAGGCGAAAGUAGUAAUAAGACUUUCAAUUUGCGUAGACGAAGGUAGUAAUAAAACUACAAUUUGAAUUUUGUAGGUAGAACACUUUUUGUUUCCCCCUUUUUUCUAGUGUGUUUCUAGUCCUAUUUUGAGCUAUUAAUACAGCCUUGAGAAUACUUUAAAGGGACAUUUGAUUUAGUGGAUGAGAUAGAUAAGAAUGAUAAGAGUAGAGGAUGUUUUGUAGAGGAGGUUUAAAUAAUUCAUUCAAUUUUGAGGUGAUAAAUUCAAAUAAAUUAUUAAAGUUCAUCACAAAUCGAAUCAUACAAAUCAAACACUCGAUUAAAUUGAAGUAGCAAUUGCACCCCGUGAUCUUUAAUUUGAUAUGCAUAUUAAAUCAAAUAUCAAAUAUUUUGAAUCAAAUAUAUGAAAUUAAAGCUCUUAUCGUGAUCUUUAAUUUGAGUAUGCAAAAAUUAUGCAAGAUGAUGAAUCUCUAUAGUUUCUACUUCAAAUUAACUCAUGAGCUAUAGUUGUAGUAGGAAAGAUAUAUAAUAUGAGAAUCCGGCCCAACCCAUUUUUAAAAUAAAUGGAUUUGAAGAUCCAUCAUUUAAAACUCAUGAGAUAUUUAUCAUUCAUAUGAAAACAUAAAAUCACAUUCAUAUAAUACCAUUGAAAUUAUGCAAAGCAUAAUGUAUUAAUGCAUGGAUUGAUCACUUGGACCUUACUCUAUAUCAAUUUAACUUGCUCAAUCCAUUUCUGGCCCAACUCUAAAUAUAUAUUUUUAAUAGUUGAGAUGGAUUGAUAACUUUCAAGCCAGGACUCCAAUAUUCUCAUUUUAUUCUAAUUCAGUUAAAAAUUAAAAUUUGAGUAUACUUUGUAUAUUUACAGACCUACUCCAAAUUAAAAAGGAGUAUAGCUUUCAUCACGGUCCAAAAUAGGAGUAUAAAUGUAAAAAAUGAAAGUUAUAGUCUUCAUUUUCAAAUUCUGUAACAUGUAGACCUUAUUUUCAAAUUUCGUAAUAUAUAGUCAUCUUUUUGAAAAUAUUGAAAGUUAUAGUCCUGUUUUUACCAUUAGGUCUUGUAUAUUUACAGACCUACUCCAAAUUUAAAAGGAACAAUGUGAUAUGAUAUACUUUAUUUAUAAGAAAGUAAUAAAAUUCAUUAUAAAUAUCAAUAGCGUGAAUUUCACGCGCGUGCCUAAUUUUUUUUAAAAAAAUUCGAAUAAAAGAUCAUCAAAAUCACAUUUCAAGCCCAAUAGCUCUCUAUAUGUCUUCAAGUCGGACAAAUGACAAUUCAUAGUGGUCCUAUGUUUUUGGGAAAUGUCUUUUUCAAUUUAGUACAAUUAAUUUGUUUGAUCGUUUUGUCAAUUUAAUAGUCAGUUAUUUAUAACAAUUUACUUAAUAUAAUGUUUAAUUUUAACUUUAAUGAAAUGUUAAAUAUUAAAAAAGAAAAGUAAAAAUGAGAUUAAAUGGAAAUGAGGAUUAUAAUGCCUAUUAUAGCGUCAAUGCACUGGAGAAAGGGAGACGCCAAGGUGGAGACCACCUUAUACCGCCUACCACUCGAGAUGCUCUUAGUUAGAAUUAAGUAAAAUGGAGUUUCUUCUUUUUCAUCUCCAAUAAUCAACUCUACAUUUCACUCAACAGAAUAUUCCAUUUUUAUGCUUUCUGUCAUUAAAUAAUUUUGUCAUUUAAUUAUUAUAGUAUCACGUAUAUUUAUAAAUAAUUAUAUUUAUGCUCAAGCAUAUUUAAUUAUAAUCUAAUUUAAAUAUUUUUGAUAAAAUAGUUAAUAAAGCAUAAUAUUUAAAUAUUGCAUGACGAUUAAUUUAUUUUAACAACAUACUAAAAUAAAUAAUGACAGUUAUAUUCAGAAACAAAAUAUAAAACAUUACAAUAAAUCAUAAAAUAGAGGGAAGAAAUAAGAGAGAAAAAAUAAAGCCAAGUAAACGGAUGAACAGUAUCCACUACAUGUGCUGAGUUUUGUUCACACUGCUCCAAAUAUUAGUUGUAGCAAAGGCACCGUUGGAGAAGGGUUUCACUGCAUUCAAACAUAAAAAAUGAUAAAUUUAUACUUUAUUAUGUUAUUAUUUUAUUUAGAGGGAUAAAAAACGAAUACAUCUUGAAGUAUUAAUUAUGUGAACCGGGAAAAAGAAGAAUGUUCAAUUUUCUUGUCUUUUAAUUGGAAAUAUUAAAUUGCAUUAUAAAGAGGCAAUGCAUAGAAAUUUCUAUGUAACCGAUUUAUAAAGGUAUCAUAUUUGUAUAUGUUUACCACAUAGUGUCGGCAAAGAUUGAAUUAUAAAAAAAUGAAAAAAGAAAAACAUAUCUUGAAUGAAUUAAAGGAUGUAAACUCUUGAUCUUGCAUCACUCAUCCAAUUCUGCUCCUUAAUCCUCUUAAUAACAUUCAUGAAAUAUAAAAAAUGAAAAAAGAAUUAUCUCUAUUAAUAACAUUAAUGAACUCUUAUUGCCUUAACACAAAUUCUUGUGUGCACCAUGGAGCACGUGCUCCGGUGCACACAAGAAUGCCUCUUGGCUUAAAGCCUCUUACGUUGAAACAUUUCAUUAAUUAUGCCAGCUAAGAUGAAUCAGCUAUCACUUUUGAACUAUUUGAGUUUUCAUCGUCAGAGUUGCUUGCCUAUAAUUAUUGAGUUUUCGUUUUCGGAGUGGUUGAGAAAUAAUGAGGGAGAAAUAAAGAUAGAUAUAUAGGCUGUCUUUUAAUUUUAUUUUAUUUUCACACCUUGAAGUAGUAUUAUGUAAAACGUGAAAAGGAAGAAUGUACAAUUUUCUUGUCUUUAAUUGGAAAAAAACGCAUUAUAUAGAGUUAAUGUAUAUAAAUUUCUAUGUAACCAAUUUAUAAAGAUGCCAUAUUGAUUUAUAUAAGUAUUUUAAUACGUUUACCACAUUGUUAAAAUAUUAACUAAAUACUAGUAUAUUCAACAAUUUUUUUACUCCAUCCGUUCUCAUAAAAUGUAUUCAAUUUGUUGUUUUUGUUCGUCUUCAUAAAAUCAAUUUAAUUUAUUUUUGAUGAGUUUUUCACUGACAAUAAAGUGAGAUCGAUCCUAUGAAACUAUUAUUUUAUUCACAACAUAUUUAAUGUAUUUUAUUAAAAUUUGUACCAUUUAUAAAUAAUUACUCCAUGCGUCCGUCAAAAAUAGGAGUCAGGGGAUGUUUUAGGACAUUAACUUAAAUUGAUUUGAAAAUUAGGACAAUAACUUUCGGAUUUGUAAAAAUAGGACACUAAUUAUUUUUUUGAGUAAAAUAGGACACUAAUUAAUAAGCGUCGUAAAAAUAGGACAUUUCUCAGCCGAUAAUUGGCUAAAAAAUGUCCUGCGGAUGCAACACUUAUUAAUUAGUGUCCUGUUUUACUCUAAAAAAAAAUUAGUGUUCUAUUUUUACAAGUUCGAAAGUUAUUGUCCUAAUUUCCAAAUCAAUCUAAGUUACUGUCCUAAAAAACCCUCAAACUCUCAAAAAUAGGGUACAAUUACUAUAUCGGACGUCCGCAAAGAGUGUUUCACUUUCCUUUUAAAGAAAUGGUCUCACCAUCCACUUUAAUCUUACUUUAAUCUUUUAACCUUACAAAUUUACAAAAAAAAAAAUACACCCUAAAUUCAAUCUCAACCACAUAUCUAAUAAAGUGAUGGGACUAUUUCUCUACUACAUCAAAAUCAUCAUCAAUUUUAUUAAAUCUUUUGCCCAACUAAAGUGCCCCAUUUUUUAGGGACGUAUGGAGUAUUUUUUAUAAGGACGAGAGGGAUUAAGUCGGAAUUCUACCCACCAAAACAUUCAUCAACUAACUGGUCAAAGUCAAAGUAUCUUGAAUGAAUUAAAGGCUGUAAACUCUUGAGCUUGCAUCACUCAUCCAAUUCUGCUCCUUAAUCCUCUCUCUCUCUCUCACUCAAUUUCGCUCUUUCUCUCUCUCUAAGGAAGCAGCAGCUGCUACCGCCGUCUUUAAGGUGAAGAUGAAUUUCAAUUCUGCUUGUUGAUUGUGUGUAGUCAAAUUUGAGAUUUUUUUUCUUCUUUUUUUUGGGUGUUUCCUUUUGUACUCAUUAUCAUGUUUGGCUAUUCUCUUAUGAGAUUUGAUACUUUGAGUUUUGCUCAUAUAUUUUGAUGAUAGAGUUUUCUUAAUUCUUACAAUAACAAAUUUUUAUUUGAAUUGCGCUCUAUGUUAUAUACUCAUUAUGUCCACGAAAAUCAUAGUGUUGUUUGGGAGCAAUGGGUUUAAUAAAAUUGUCACUGUGUAUAAAGUGGAGGAAAGAGUCCAUUAUUAUUAUUAUUAUUAUUAUUAUUAUUAUUAUUAUUAUUAUUAUUAUUAUUAUUAUUAUUUUGAGGAAAUAUUGUUCCAUUAAAAUUGAGUUGUGAAAGAGAUACUACUAUAUUUGAUGGGUUAAGUAAUUGUCUUUUUUUAUAAAUACUAACAGAGAUGACGUGUAUUGAAGAUAAAUUAUUUUAAUAAAUAAUUUUUUAUGAGUAUAAUCAUUUCAUUUUAUAGUACUUCAUCUGUCCUCCCAUAUUUAUGCACCUUUUUUUAUACAUCUUCGAAAUUUACGCACCAUAUUUUUUGACACUAUCUAGUUCACACAUAAUUUUCAUUUACACCAUCUUUCACAAUUUACUUAACAAUAUCCUUCAUGUUCGACUUUUAUUUAAUAUCACUUUUGGCAUAGAUUUUCAAGCUAUAAAUAUUUGCUGGUGAGGAUCAGUAAUUUGCGUUUAGUGUUUACAUUUUCAUAUCUUGGUAUAUGGAUCCAGCCAUGCAUUAAUAUUCUCCACACCUUUUAAGUCAAAAUGAUACUUUGUAAACAUAAAUACUCCCUCCGUCCCAUAAGCUUAGGCUUGUUUUCCUUUUUUGAAUGUCCCAUUUAUAUAGGCUUGUUUCCAUAAAAAGUAAUAUUUUUUUACUCAUUCACUAUUAUAUCUCCAUUUAAUUCUUUAAUUUACUCCCACUUUAAUACAUCAUUAAAUAAUAAAUAUGGGCAUACUAGGAAAUUUACUCAUAUAUUUUCAUUUUCAAUAAGUUUUUUUAAUCUUUGUGAAAAUCUCAAUCAGCCUAAGCUUAUGGGACGGAGGGUGUAUAUAACUACUAAAGUUAUAAAUUUAAUGAGUACAAGUAUAGUUCGGUUAACAGUCACUUUUUAUAUAAAAAAUAAAGGUUAUAAGUGAUUUGUGUCUCUAAAUUUUGUUUUCUCUUAAAAAUUCUUUAAAUAUUUAGCGUUUUUCCUAAAAUAUUUUGCUAUAUAAAAUUUGAUGAUGAAAAGAUGAUUCAUUUCAUCAGAGUCUAACAUGAAUUGUUUUUUGGACUGUUUUUUCAACCUAAACAUCAAAAUGAUAUCGUUUUGAUACAUAAAAAAAAAAUCUCUUUCAUUUAUCUCUAUUUUUAGAAUUUCAUCAAUGUCAACUUCUAAAUAUGUAAUUAUCUUCCUCCCAAUUCUCGGCUUAUUUGGAGAGGAGGAUUUUGUGGUGAUUAACUAUGACCAAAGAUAGAGAGAUUGUUUUUUAUUUUAUUUUUCCACACGUUGAAGUGUUAUGUGAAAACGGGAAAUUUUCUUGCCGUAUAGAAAUUUCGAUGUAUCCAAUUUAUAAAGGUGUCAUAUUUAUAUAUUUUAAUACGUUUACCAAAUUGUUAAAAUGUUAACUAAAUACUCCCUCCGUCCCACUCCAAUAGGCUCAUUUUCCUUUUUGAGAUGUCCCACUCCAAUAGGCUCAUUUUCCUUUUUGGGUAAAAAAGUUGUAUUUAAUUGGUGUGGACCACACCACUUUACUACCAUUUUCCUACUAAAAAGUAAGUUUUCUUAAUCUUCGUGCCCAAAUGAAGUGAGCCUAUUGGAGUGGGAUGAAGGGAGUACUAUAUUUACAAUUUUUUAUAUUAAUACUACCCACCAAAUCAUUCGCGAGUUAAGUAGUCAAAGUCAAAGUCAAAGUAUUAAAAAAAGUGUCGGCAAAGAUUGAAAUAUAAAAAAUGAAAAAAGAAAUCCAUAUCUAGAAUGGAAGGCUGUAAACUCUUCAGCUUGCACCACUCAUCCAUUUCUAUUGCUUAGCUCUCUCUCUCUCUCUCUAAGUUAUCAGCACAAAAAAUGGAAGCAGGAGCUGCUGCUGCCGUUGAAGUUCUAGUUCAAAACCUCAUCGAUCUCUGCAAGAAAGAGAUCUCUCAGAUCCGAGAUCUCAAAAAAGAUGCCGCAAAGCUAGCUGCGAGUCUCAAAACCAUCCAGAAAUUCUUGAACGAUGCC
rnacentral:lncRNA from 1 species